ACAGAGAAUGCCAAUCACUGAGACGAUGAGU
rnacentral:piRNA from 1 species